CAGGCCUGGCUUUCAAAUCUUAAUGAAAAUGUCUUACCCAAGUCCCAUAGCAAGUAAGCACUAGAGAUAAGAUAUGCUCAUGGGUUGGCCUGGCUCUGAACUCUAUGGUGUUUCUACAUCUCCAAGCAGCAUUUACUUGGAUUUUUCUUUUAACUGACAGAAUCAUGUAUAUAAGUACUUACAUGGAGUUAUGGUUUUACCUCAAAGAAAAAAACUGAAGUAUAUAGAUUUAGUCCUAUCUAUAUGCCAGUGUUUUUUUUUCCUUGUUUAUAUCAAAUCCUAAGGCUCAGCCUUUAUAUCUAGAUUAGGUUUCAUUACACAAGGCACAUGGUUGAUAAAUUUGAGUUCAAAUGCUCCAUUUCAGAGAGCUUUACAAAUCACAGGCAUCGGUUCAUUUCUAUAAAGCCAAAAAUACAUUUUAAAAGUUAAUAAAUGGUGAUAGUUUGUCCCCAAAAUGGAUGUGCCAUUUAUAUCUUCACCAGUAAUGUAUGAAUGUGUAUUUUCCCUUCCUCUUAACAGCACUGGGUGUUAUCAAACUUUAUAUUUUUUGCUUAUCUGAUAAGUAUACAUAGUAUUUUGUUUUAAUUUGCAUUUCUGUAAUUGAGAGUGCACUGUCAUUGAUUUAUUGUCAAUUUUUAUCUCUUUUUUCAGAGAUCCGUCUGGUUAUAUUUUUGCCCAUUUUUCUUUUAACUUUUAUUUUCGUUUCAAAGGUCCAUGUGCAGGUUUGUUAUACAGGUAAACUGCAUUUCAUGAGGUUUGGUGUACAGAUAACUUCAUCAUCUGGGUAGUACGCAUAGUAUCUAACAGAUUUUUUUUUAUUCCUUCCUUCCUCCCAGCCUCCACCUUCAAGUAGGCCCGUGUGUCUGUUGUUCCCCUCCUAGUAUCCAUGUGUUCUCACUGUUUAGCUCCCAUUUAAAAGUGAGAACACUCCGUAUUUGGUUUUCUGUUCCUGUGUCAGUUUGUGAUAUGGUUUGGCUGUGUCUCUGCCUAAAUCUUAUCUUGAAUUGUAGCUCCCAUAAUUCCCACUUGUUGUGGGAGGGAGCUGGUGGGAGAUAAUUGAAUCAUGGGGGUGAUUUCCCCCAUACUGUUCUCGUGCUAGUGAAUAAGUCUCACAAGAUCUGAUGGUUUUAUAAGGGGAAACUCCUUUCACUUGGUUCUCAUUCUCUCUUUGCCUGCUGCCAGGUAAGACGUACCUUUCACCUUCUGCCAAGACUGUGAGGAUUCUCCAGCCAUGUGGAACUGUGAGUCCAUUAAACCUCUUUUUCUUUAUAAAUUACCCAGUCUCAGGUAUGUCUUUAUCAGCAGCAUGAAAAUGGACUAAUACAGUUUGCUUAGGAUAAUGGCCUCCA
rnacentral:lncRNA from 1 species